rnacentral:lncRNA from 1 species
UAGGCUAUUACAGAUCUCUUUACUUUUUCUGUACUCUGCUGGACUGUCCCCUCCUGUACCCUGUACACUGAAUACUGAACCUGCAAAACUGGGGUUAAGGGAGUGGGAUGAGCUCUAUAGCCCAGUGAGUAGAACAGUAAAACAUCUCAGUAAAAUAUGAUCUCAUGGAAUGCAUCAUAUCACAGACAAGCCACAUCAAGAGUAAACCUGUCACCACAUAGUCCCAGUAACUCUGUGCCAGGGCGUAGAAUCGAGCACCUGGUCUUCCUGUCAUAUAUGUAUAUGUGUAUAUAACACCUGUAACCUUACCAUUGCCAGGGCGUAGUCAAAGGCUCCUGGACUUUGCUAUAUACCUGCCAGGGCGUAGUCAAAGGCUCCUGGUCUUUGCUAUACGUGCCAGGGCAUAGUCAAAGGCUCCUGGUCUUCCUGUCUGUGACUAUUGGAUCAUUCAGCAUUUACUCACAUCAUCAAAUAACAAUGCAAUGCAACAUAUUCGUGAAUACUAAUGUAAACAACCUAUGGCAUAAACAUGAUGCAUGAGAUAUGCUAAAAGCAGUUUGUGAUUCAAUUACAAGUUAUAAGUUUAGUUCCACUCACCUCUGG